GACGUAGGAUGCGAGCGUUGUCCGGAUUUAUUGGGCGUAAAGAGUUCGUAGGUGGUUUGUUAAGUCUGAUGUUAAAGAUUGGGGCUCAACCCUGAAACUGCAUUGGAUACUGGCAGACUUGAGUGUGGUGGAGGCUAGUGGAAUUCCCAGUGUAGCGGUGAAAUGCGUAGAUAUUGGGAAGAACACCGGUGGCGUAGGCGACUAGCUGGGCCAUAACUGACACUGAGGAACGAAAGCCAGGGUAGCGAAUGGG
rnacentral:rRNA from 1 species